AACGAACGCUGGCGGCAGGUGUAACACAUGCCAGUCUAACGCCCCGCAAGGGGCGUGGCAGACGGGUGAGUAACGCGUGGGAACAUACCCCUUCCUGCGGAAUAGCCCUGGGACACUGGAACUAAUACCGCAUCCGCCCUACCGGGGCAAGAUUUAUCGGGGAAGGAUUGGCCCGCGUUGGAUUAGCUAGUUGGUGGGGUAAAGGCCGACCAAGGCGACGAUCCAUAGCUGGUCUGAGAGGAUGAUCAGCCACAUUGGGACUGAGACACGGCCCAAACUCCUACGGGAGGCAGCAGUGGGGAAUAUUGGACAAUGGGCGCAAGCCUGAUCCAGCCAUACCGCGUGAGUGAUGAAGGCCUUAGGGUUGUAAAGCUCUUUCACCGAUGAAGAUAAUGACGGUAGUCGGAGAAGAAGCCCCGGCUAACUUCGUGCCAGCCGCCGCGGUAACAC
rnacentral:rRNA from 1 species